GACCUGGGCAACCCCAGCCUGGAGGUGCCGGGGCCGGAGCUCCCAGAGGGCUGGGUGCGAGGCCUAGGCGGGGUCAGGUUCGGGUUCCUAGGCCAUAGCGGAGCUGCAGCCCAGGCGGCCGGAGCGGAACCCAGCCCCGCUCCGAGUGCCACGUCUCCAGGAACCCCCUCCUUACUCUUGGACAACACUCCGCCCCCGCCCGGGCCUCCGUCCCCCAAACCGCCCUCAUUUGUGCAGCGCCAGAUCCUUCGGACACAUCCCUAGGUGUCUCCAUCCUCAUUCGGUCCAUCCAACUCCCAGACCUCACGUCAACCGGCUGCACCCCACUUUCCAGCCUGCGCCCCAGAUCUGCAGCCUUCGCCCCUAGAUACACCCGCCUGGUGAUGAGGCGCUCCUCGCGUUCCUUCCGGGCUCCAGGUGUCCGUGAGCCUCCCUUCCGCCCUGGCCUCCGGUCUCUGCCUUGCUCGUGCUUCUACCACCACCCUUCCCCUCCCAACCCGGUGGAUCCUCUCGUCUCCCCCAGUCUCCAGUGCACCGGCUUUCCCUCGUCCUCUGCGCAGUCCAUCUCAGCUCAUCUCUCCAAUUCAAUGCCAUCAUCUCUCCUCACCAUCUCUCGGUGCCCUGGAAUGUUUGCUGUCAGAUGUCCCCUGUGAAACCCACAAACGCUUGCGAUUUGGCCUCCUUGUUUUAUUUUGUGUAGUCCUACAACGUCUUGUUACUACCCCCUAUUACAACACUUAUAACUCAG
ensembl:lncRNA PCAT6 prostate cancer associated transcript 6